rnacentral:rRNA from 1 species
GCGGUAACAGAUCCAGCUUGCUGGAUGCUGACGAGCGGCGGACGGGUGAGUAAUGCAUAGGAAUCUGCCCGAUAGUGGGGGAUAACCUGGGGAAACCCAGGCUAAUACCGCAUACGUCCUACGGGAGAAAGGGGGCUCCGGCUCCCGCUAUGGGAUGAGCCUAUGUCGGAUUAGCUAGUUGGUGAGGUAACGGCUCACCAAGGCCACGAUCCGUAGCUGGUCUGAGAGGAUGAUCAGCCACAUCGGGACUGAGACACGGCCCGAACUCCUACGGGAGGCAGCAGUGGGGAAUAUUGGACAAUGGGGGCAACCCUGAUCCAGCCAUGCCGCGUGUGUGAAGAAGGCCCUCGGGUUGUAAAGCACUUUCAGCGAGGAAGAACGCCUAGCGGUUAAUACCCGCUAGGAAAGACAUCACUCGCAGAAGAAGCACCGGCUAACUCCGUGCCAGCAGCCGCGGUAAUACGGAGGGUGCAAGCGUUAAUCGGAAUUACUGGGCGUAAAGCGCGCGUAGGUGGCUUGAUAAGCCGGUUGUGAAAGCCCCGGGCUCAACCUGGGAACGGCAUCCGGAACUGUCAAGCUAGAGUGCAGGAGAGGAAGGUAGAAUUCCCGGUGUAGCGGUGAAAUGCGUAGAGAUCGGGAGGAAUACCAGUGGCGAAGGCGGCCUUCUGGACUGACACUGACACUGAGGUGCGAAAGCGUGGGUAGCAAACAGGAUUAGAUACCCUGGUAGUCCACGCCGUAAACGAUGUCGACCAGCCGUUGGGUGCCUAGCGCACUUUGUGGCGAAGUUAACGCGAUAA